UAAUGAUUUGGUCUCUAAGC
rnacentral:piRNA from 1 species